UAGCUCGUUCUUGGCUCUGCCCUCCUCCUUGCUUGUUCUGUCCACUAUGACCCAUGAGCUCCCAUUGGAAACGACACGCGGUGAUCUAUCUUGGGUUAGUUAUUAAAAUCUUCGGAGUAGCUUGCAGGAGGCAGGGGCGAAUGGCGGCGGUGCGCAGCGAGGAAGUGGCGGGGAUUUAGCUAAAACACUGUGUAAAGCUACUAGAAUCGCUCCGGAAUGCAGUGGCGUUGACACAGUAGAGGAAUACUCUUUUUAGAUAUCAUAAACGGAGCUAAACACAUUGUGUUUGCAGUCCUGUAAUGAAGUUAUCUGGAGCUGUCAGUCCUGACAAGCUGACAGGAAGG